rfam:Camelus ferus unplaced genomic scaffold scaffold145, whole genome shotgun sequence.
GAGGGUACAGCUCAAGUGGUAGAACACAUACUUAGCAUGUAUGAGAUUCUGGGUUCAAUCCCCAGUACCUCCU